UACAGAGGGGGCAAGCGUUGUUCGGAAUUACUGGGCGUAAAGGGUGCGUAGGCGGGUCUUUUAAGUCAGGGGUGAAAUCCUGGAGCUCAACUCCAGAACUGCCUUUGAUACUGAAGAUCUUGAGUUCGGGAGAGGUGAGUGGAACUGCGAGUGUAGAGGUGAAAUUCGUAGAUAUUCGCAAGAACACCAGUGGCGAAGGCGGCUCACUGGCCCGAUACUGACGCUGAGGCACGAAAGCGUGGGGAGCAAACAGGG
rnacentral:rRNA from 1 species